rnacentral:rRNA from 1 species
AUGUUCCUACGGGGGGCAGCAGUGGGGGAUAUUGCACAAUGGGGGGAACCCUGAUGCAGCGACGCCGCGUGGGUGAAGGAGCGUUUCGGCACGUAAAUCUCUAUCAGCAGGGAAGAAAAUGACGGUACCUGAUUAAGAAGCCCCGGCUAACUACGUGCCAGCAGCCGCGGUAAUACGUAGGGGGCAAGCGUUAUCCGGAUUCACUGGGUGUAAAGGGAGCGUAGACGGCAGCGCAAGUCUGAAGUGAAAUGCCGGGGCUUAACCCCGGAACUGCUUUGGAAACUGUGCAGCUAGAGUGCAGGAGG